rnacentral:rRNA from 1 species
UACGGAGGGUGCAAGCGUUAUCCGGAAUCACUGGGCUUAAAGGGUGCGUAGGCGGUGGCGUAAGUCAGUUGUGAAAUUCCCCGGCUUAACCGGCGGGACUGCGAUUGAUACUGCGUUACUUGAAUCAGGUUGAGGUAGGCGGAAUGUGACAUGUAGCGGUGAAAUGCUUAGAUAUGUCAUAGAACACCGAUUGCGAAGGCAGCUUGCUGGACCUGUAUUGACGCUGAGGCACGAAAGCGUGGGGAGCAAACAGG